rnacentral:rRNA from 1 species
CAGCCGCCGCGGGAAUACGUAGGGUGCGAGCGUUAAUCGGAAUUACUGGGCGUAAAGCGUGCGCAGGCGGUUCGUUAAGACAGAUGUGAAAUCCCCGGGCUUAACCUGGGAACUGCAUUUGUGACUGGCGAGCUAGAGUAUGGCAGAGGGGGGUAGAAUUCCACGUGUAGCAGUGAAAUGCGUAGAGAUGUGGAGGAAUACCGAUGGCGAAGGCAGCCCCCUGGGCCAAUACUGACGCUCAUGCACGAAAGCGUGGGGAGCAAACAGGAUUAGAUACCCCUGUAGUCCCUGUCUCUUAUAC